AUUUAUACUAAUGAUAGGGUUGACUCAGAAUUCAGGAAAUUGCACCUUUCAAGAAAAACGUAUCUCUGCUGAUUCAGACUAUGGCCAUCAAUCUUCAGGUUAUGUUUCUGAUGGUGAUGUUCUACAAUAUGAUAUACAAUCAAAACAAUAUCUAACUACAGAUCCUGGAUAUAUGUCUGAAGGACCAAUUUACAAUGAUUCUAAGUCAACUUGACACAGCUAAAUAUCUAUUGUCGUUUGAACCAUAUGAGUCUAUAGCAAAAUCUAGUAAAAUAUUUACUAGUAAUGUUAUGAAGUACAAAAUAUUU